AUUGAACGCUGGCGGCAGGCCUAACACAUGCAAGUCGAACGAGUGGCGGACGGGUGAGUAAUGUCUGGGCACCUGCCCGAUGGAGGGGGCUAACUACUGGAACCGGUAGCUACUACCGCCUACCAUCGGAUGUGCCCAGAUGGGAUUAGCUAGUAGGUGGGGUAACGGCUCACCUAGGCGACGAUCCCUAGCUGGUCUGAGAGGGUGACCAGCCACACUGGAACUGAGACACGGUCCAGACUCCUACGGGAGGCAGCAGUGGGGAAUAUUGCACAAUGGGCGCAAGCCUGAUGCAGCCAUGCCGCGUGUAUGAAGAAGGUCUUCGGGUUGUAAAGUACUUUCAGUGAGGAGGCGGUACUCGCAGAAGAAGCACCGGCUAACUACGUGCCAGCAGCCGCGGUAAUAC
rnacentral:rRNA from 1 species